rnacentral:rRNA from 1 species
GAAACUUAAAGGAAUUGACGGGCCCGCACAAGCAGCGGAGCGUGUGGUUUAAUUCGAUGCUACACGAAGAACCUUACCAGGGUUUGACAUGUAAGUGGUAGGAAACCGAAAGGCGACCGACCCUUCGGGGAGCUUGCACAGGUGCUGCAUGGCUGUCGUCAGCUCGUGUCGUGAGAUGUUCGGUUAAGUCCGCUAACGAGCGCAACCCUCGCUGUGUGUUACAAGUGUCACACGGUACUGCCGGUCUUAAGCCGGAGGAAGGUGGGGAUGACGUCAAGUCAGCAUGGCCUUUAUGUCCUGGGCUACACACACGCUACAAUGGCCAACACAAUAGGUUGCUAAGCCGCGAGGUGGAGCCAAUCCUCAAAGUUGGUCUCAGUUCAGAUUGCAGGCUGCAAUUCGCCUGCAUGAAGUCGGAAUCGCUAGUAAUCGCAGGUCAGCAUACUCGCGGUCGAAUACGUUCCGGCCUU